CUCGGAUAUAAAAAAGUAGAAUCAAUUUAAACUCUAAAAUAAUUCUCUGAGAAUAAUCAUCAUAGAGUUGUGAAAGCACGGAGGUAUCUCUUUAAAACUUGACACAGAGUCUGAGUGUUGUCCUCACCCCUCUGUCACAUGAGAGCUUUAAAAAAGGCCUAUAGCCUGGUGUAAUAAUGAUAAUUAAGUUUGUCAGAUAGUUGCCGGACGGUAAAGAAGGGCCAACAAAACUCAGUAGAUCAUCGUCAGUCAGCCUGUCAUAUCGCUCACAUAAAGAUAAGUAACAAGCCAGAGUCUGUUGUAACUCACCCACAUACACUCACUGUUUGUGCCCACAGGAGAGGACCACGCCGCUGAGCGGGAUGACAAGUUGCCACGUUGUGAAAUGUGAAUGUAAGUGACAUGGAGCCGCGCUACAUUUCAUGGCCACACACAUUAAGAUCUUGGUUAUUCUGCAGCACGUCCUCUUGGCCUUUUCAUUUCCUUCUUGUUAUUUUUAACAUGUAAUAAAAAAAAGUAUUCACAAACUGAAAAAAUGGCACAUCCAGCCCAGUGAAUCACCCACACCUCUCACACUUUGGCAUCUGGGCUGGAGCUGUGAGAGAAGAGAAGUAGAUUGGUCCAUCAGCUUUCCAACAACAACAACAGAGUGAGAGACAAGGUAAAAACAGCACAGACUUGGUUAGCCCGCUGAUUAGAUGACAAGCUGUAAGGUUCGGUCAAUCAAGCACGCUUCACAACUGCUCAUUUAAGACUCUCGGUUAGAAAUGACGUUCUCAGCUAUCCCCGCAGGAAAACACGAAUCCAAGAAGAGAUCUCAUGGUUUUGUUUUUUUCCAUCACCGAGAACAGACCAAGGUUUUUUUUUUUUUCUUCUCUUCAAACUCAGCUCAAGAAUUGAACCUCCAAAAGGAUCCUCGAUUAAUUGAUGAAAAACAUCUGAACAAAAGCAGAUCUCUUCUUUUUGUAAUUGAAUAUGAAUGUCAAAAAGAACCUCAGGUGUUACGACAUCUCAUCACUGAAUAAUUUACUCAGAGACAUCUGAGACGAAGAACAGGAGGGAAAAAUACUGAUAUAGCUAUAAUGAUACAGACAUGAGAUGAUAACAAUACAUUAUAACAAUGUGAUACAGUAAUGAUACUGUACAAUAUGAUACAAUAGUGAUACAAUAGAACACACUAACGAUACGAUACAAUAGCGGUAUGAUAACAAUGCCUUAAUGAUACAAUAGAAUAACAAUAUGAUAAUGAGACAAUAGAAAAGUGAUACAUUGAUGAGACAAUAAUUAACAUUAUGAUAACAAUGCAAUACAGUAAUGAUACAAUACAAUAUGAUAUAAUAGCAGUACUGUACAAUAUGAUACAAUAAUGAUAUGGUAACACUAUAAUGAUACAAUAGAAUAACAAUAUGAUAUGAUAACAAGAUAAUACGCUAUGAUAAUGCAACAUAGUAAUGAUACAAUAACAAUACUAUACAACAUGAUUCAAUAGUGACACAUUACAACACUAUAAUGAUAUGAUACAAUAGUGGUAUGAUAACGACACAGUAAUGAUACAAUAGAAUAGAAUAACAAUAUGAUAAUUCCAGAUAAUGAGACAAUAAAAAUAUGCUAUGCUACCAAUUCAAUACAGUAAUGAUACAAUAAAACUAACAAUAAUGAUACAAUAGUGGUAUGGUAACAACACUUUGAUGAUAAAAUAGCAUAACAUGGUUAUGAUACUGUUAUAAGACAAUAACAAUAUGCUUUGAUAAUGCAAUAUAGUAAUAAUAUAAUAAAACUGACAAUGAUAAAAUACAACAUAUAUGAUACAAUAGAUUCAAUAAUUAUACAGCAUGAUAUAAAGAUGCAAUCAAGAUAAAAUACAAUAUGACAUUAUACUUAUUUGAAACCAAUAUAAUAUUUGGUAGUAUGCAAAACUACUUUAGAAGUACAUUAUCUAAAAUCAUGAUACAAUAAACUACAUUAUAAAUACAAUACGAUAAGUACCAAUACACCUUUAUAUGAUCCAGCAUUAUAUAACAUGAAAUGAUUGAAUACAGUACAAUACAGUCUGACAAAUAAAAUACAAUAUUUACCUUCAAAGAUUAUGACUUGAUAUAACACAAUAAUAUUAUAUUAAAUAUGUCAGAGUACAGAAUAAUACAACAUUAUAUGAUCCGCAUGGUAGGUCAUUAGUACCUUUAGUAUUUAAUAUGAUAAAUGAUAGAGAGAUGAUAAUAUGAUAAGAGAUGAUACAACACAAUGAGGCAGGAUAGGAUACAACACAUUAUGAUAGACUCUGAUACAGCACAAUGAGAUUUGAUACAACACUGUAUAAUAUAAUAUAAGGUAUGAUAAGGUUUAUUAUUGUUAUUAAAUAAUGUGUCCUUCUUUAUUUUUUGUCUCUGCUUCUUAAAAAAGUAUAUUUUACCAUCAUUCCUUUAUUUCUGCUGACAUUUAAAUCUAAACAUCUACAUUUUAUUUGCUCCCUCAAACACCUGACAGGCAGAACCCGGGACCCGGAUUCUACUCACCGCAGUUUCAGACUCCCACAACCCUUCCUCUCUGCGUGGAGAAACGGGGCCAGAGGUUGAGAAGAGGACCUGUCUGAAGCAUCACUACCUCCAUCCCUCAUGCCUACAUCUGCCAGAGCCUCCUCCCACCUGUCUGAUGCUGCUCAGAUUUAUGUGGCUGUAUACGAGGAGGCCAAUCCAGCGUGCGGGGCCAUGUGCAGGCUUCCUCUUCCACUGACAGUUGUGUGUAUGAUACUGUAGCCGGCUCACGGUGAGGCUUGGCCCUCUGUGUCUAAGAUCUGUCAUGAGUGGGAGCUUGGAAAGGUUAGGACAGUUCAGGGAAGAUAAAUGGUGGAUUGGGAGGACAGCUGAUGUUGAAACACAAACACUUCAGGAGGAUGGAGUGGACUGAGGCCGCUCUCUUUAUCCCAACACACUUCACGUUCAGAUGGUCCUGCAGACGGGUGAAGCCAUCCAUCCUGAGCUCCUCCAAGAGAAGUUUCCACAGAGCCGGCCGUCCACAUCAGCCACUCUAUUACUCUCAUCAAAACAAAUGAUAAAGAAUGGUUAUUGGGUUUGCACAAUGUCUUUUGUAUAAUAAAGCUCGUUAACUGCAUUGCGCAAAACAAAUGGGCAGAAUAAUCAGUAUACUUAUCGACAUUGUGUCAUUUCUAGUUAGGGCAGGAAGAGGACUCUCACUGUGGCU